rnacentral:lncRNA from 1 species
CACCGUUUCGAGAAAGAAAAACUCCGGGAUGACGAGCAGCUCACCGCGAAGUCGACUGCGUCCUCGGUUCGGUCCAAAAGGGAAUAGGAGGAGCGCGCGGCGGUGGCAGUUCGACUCCAGGCUCGGCGGGAUCUCGAACUCGGCGAAGAGCGGCGUCUAGGGCUUGGUUUCGCGGCGGGUUUGAAGCAACGGAGCGCGACCGACGUCUAAGACCUUUAUAGGGGCUUGCGGCGCACGGAAAUCGAUCCGGGUAUCACGGGAUUGAUUCGGUGAUUUCCACCGAGUCCGGCUCGAAGACGCUCGAGGAAGAGGAUUGGAGCGCUGACAUGCGGGGCCCGGCUGGCGGUGGGAGAAGAGAAUGGGCCCGCUCGUCAUCCACACAGAGAGAGAGGGAAAACGCGCGGGUCGGCCUGGCGCCUAGUGGGCCGCGCAAGCAGGCCGGAGGUGGAGGAGGCGCGCGGGGGGUUUCUGGGCUGCGGCCUGGUUAUUCCAGGGAGGUUUUCCUUUUUUUUUUCUUUUCUUUUCUGGUUUCAAAACCAAUUAUAAACAUUUUUAAAAACAUUUAAAUUCAGUUAGUAGCUUGUUCAAAAUCACUCAUCUCAAAAAUAAAAUGCACCAGCAUGAUUAACACACAAUUGUUGCUAAGCCUUAUAAUAAAUUUUAUUUUAAAGAAAAAAAUAUUAUUCUCCCUAUAUUCUCAUGAGCACAAAAAUACAAAAUUAAAUCAUUUUUCACCUAUUUCAAAGGUUGCAAAUUUUUGGGUGUUACAAAUCUACCCCCCUUAAAAGAAUCUCGUCCUCGAGAUUGAGCAGAACUUACUCAAACAAAUAUGAAUAUGAUUUUCUCAGAUCAUCCUCUCUUUCCCAAGUUGCAUCUGCUUCCGAAUACCGAUUCCACUGCACUUUGCACAUUCUAAUAACCCGACUUCUGGUGACUCUCUCAGCUGUCUCUAGUAUUCUGACUGGAUACUCUUCAUAAGUGAGAUCACCUUUAACAGAAAGCUCUUCCAAUGGUAUUUGCUCCUCAGGUACACGCAAACACUUCUUAAGUUGUGACACAUGGAACACAUCAUGCACACUAGAUAAACUUUCAGGCAACUCCAACUGAUAUGCUACUUCUCCACGUCUUUCUAAUACUUUAAACGGACCA